AUCUAUAUUCAAUUAUUUGUUCUUAUCUCUGUCUUGCAAUUUGGAAAAAUGGAUAAUUGAUUACUGGAUCUAAUGUUAACCUAACUUUUGGGCAGUUCCAUUUGCCGAUUAAAACAACAUCUCGAAGCUGUUGGUGCACAAAUUGCUGGUCCUGGAA
rnacentral:lncRNA from 1 species